rnacentral:rRNA from 1 species
UACGGGGGGAGCAAGCGUUGUUCGGAUUUACUGGGCGUAAAGGGCGCGUAGGCGGCCAGCGCAAGUCAGUUGUGAAAUCUCCGGGCUUAACUCGGAAAGGUCAACUGAUACUGCGCGGCUAGAGUGCAGAAGGGGCAACUGGAAUUCUCGGUGUAGCGGUGAAAUGCGUAGAUAUCAGGAGGAACACCGGUGGCGAAGGCGGUUCUCUGGGCAUGACCUGACGCUGAGGAGCGAAAGUGUGGGGAGCGAACAGG